UACGUAGGGGGCAAGCGUUGUCCGGAAUCAUUGGGCAUAAAGCGCGCGUAGGCGGCCCUGUAAGUCCGUUGUGAAAGUCAAAGGCUCAACCUUUGAAAGCCGAUGGAUACUGCAGGGCUAGAGUCCGGAAGAGGCGAGUGGAAUUCCUGGUGUAGCGGUGGAAUGCGCAGAUAUCAGGAGGAACACCAAUAGCGAAGGCAGCUCGCUGGGACGGUACUGACGCUAAGACGCGAAAGCGUGGGGAGCGAACAGG
rnacentral:rRNA from 1 species